rnacentral:rRNA from 1 species
AUUGAACGCUGGCGGCAGGCCUAACACAUGCAAGUCGAGCGGAUGAAGGGAGCUUGCUCCUGGAUUCAGCGGCGGACGGGUGAGUAAUGCCUAGGAAUCUGCCUGGUAGUGGGGGAUAACGUCCGGAAACGGGCGCUAAUACCGCAUACGUCCUGAGGGAGAAAGUGGGGGAUCUUCGGACCUCACGCUAUCAGAUGAGCCUAGGUCGGAUUAGCUAGUUGGUGGGGUAAAGGCCUACCAAGGCGACGAUCCGUAACUGGUCUGAGAGGAUGAUCAGUCACACUGGAACUGAGACACGGUCCAGACUCCUACGGGAGGCAGCAGUGGGGAAUAUUGGACAAUGGGCGAAAGCCUGAUCCAGCCAUGCCGCGUGUGUGAAGAAGGUCUUCGGAUUGUAAAGCACUUUAAGUUGGGAGGAAGGGCAGUAUGUUAAUACCUUGCUGAUUUGACGUUACCAACAGAAUAAGCACCGGCUAACUUCGUG